rfam:Myotis brandtii contig246446, whole genome shotgun sequence.
AUCACUUCUUAGCCUUUUGGCUAAGAUCUUGUGUAGUACCUGUUCUUAUAAGUGUAAAAAGCAUAUAAAAUUAAUUCAGUAGUCCAAAUUUUCAUUUCUAGACUUAAU